rnacentral:rRNA from 1 species
UACGUAGGGGGCAAGCGUUGUCCGGAUUUAUUGGGCGUAAAGAGCUCGUAGGUGGUUCGGUAAGUCGGAUGUGAAAUCUCCAGGCUCAACCUGGAGGGGUCAUUCGAUACUGCCGUGACUAGAGGUCGGUAGGGGAGUGUGGAAUUCCUGGUGUAGCGGUGAAAUGCGUAGAUAUCAGGAGGAACACCGGUGGUGUAGACGGCUUUCUGGACCGUAACUGACGCUGAGACACGAAAGCGUGGGUAGCAAACAGG